rnacentral:rRNA from 1 species
UACGUAGGCAGCGAGCGUUGUUCGGAAUUACUGGGCGUAAAGAGUGUGUAGGCGGUGCUCUAAGUUCGGUGUGAAAUCUCCCGGCUUAACUGGGAGGGUGCGCCGGAAACUGGAGUGCUCGAGCGUGGGAGAGGAAAGCGGAAUUCCUGGUGUAGCGGUGAAAUGCGUAGAUAUCAGGAGGAACACCGGUGGUGUAAACGGCUUUCUGGACCAUAA